rnacentral:lncRNA from 1 species
GCGCAUGUUUCCCAGCAUUCCGGCCCUGCCAUGACAUGUUUGGACUUCUUGACUCUGCACUAUGUAGACACAAUGUGAACUCAGCCAAUGCUAUUACUAAUUUAUUACAUUAACCGUUAUAUAUCCUCACAGCAAUCCGAGACGAAGAAGCCUCAGUGGCUUUGGCACCGUGGAACAUUAAGUGGCAAUCCCCAGAUGCGGGUGGAGUUAUCUGAUGACGCCCUACCUAUAAGAUAUAGAGAUCAGCAUAUCAGGUUGGGAAGAAGGAGGAAGUCGUUGGAAAUUUCGUCUGAAAUCAACGGGGGGAGAUCCUACUGGCUAUAACCCCUGACACAUCCACUACAACUGUUACCACAGCUAGCUGACACAUAAAAGCAUUGUUUGGAUCGGGACAGAUGAGCCUACGUGAGGCGGAAAAGAGGGUUUGGCAGUGCCGGGGCAACUUCACUCUGAACACUGAUGACUGUGCAGAAGUGAGAGGCCCCUCGGGGGAAGU